rnacentral:rRNA from 1 species
GUGGGGAAUAUUGGGCAAUGGGGGAAACCCUGACCCAGCGACGCCGCGUGAGGGAAGAAGGCCUUAGGGUCGUAAACCUCUGUUGUGUGGGAAGAAGAGCGUGACGGUACCACACGAGGAAGUCCCGGCUAACUACGUGCCAGCAGCCGCGGUAAUACGUAGGGGACGAGCGUUGUCCGGAUUUACUGGGCGUAAAGGGCGCGUAGGCGGUCAUUUAAGUCAGCUGUGAAAUGGUGCGGCUUAACCGCAUCAUGCGGUUGAAACUGGAUGACUGGAGGGCUGGAGAGGCAAGUGGAAUUCCCAGUGUAGCGGUGAAAUGCGUAGAUAUUGGGAAGAACACCGGUGGCGAAGGCGACUUGCUGGCCAGCAACUGACGCUGAGGCGCGAAAGCCAGGGGAGCAAACGGGAUUAGAUACCCGUGUAGUCC